rnacentral:lncRNA from 1 species
ACACUGCUAAAAUAUUAUCCCGAGAUUGAAGAAGGUGUCACGGUCCAACAAGAUGAUCGAUGAUUUACAUGAUUGUGCAAGCUGAGGGAUUUUCUUCAUAAUACCCUCUGUUGCCACUGCCGUAACUGUCAUACACAGGCCUCCCAUAAUAACCAUCAUACUGGAUGUACGGGGAUGGCCCCCCGCCAUAACCACUAUGCCACGACCCACAUGCACGCCCCUGGUAACAAUCCAUACAACACGCUUGAACAGGCGGUGGGUACCCUGGCACAUAAGGAACCGGCUGCAUAUAAAGAGGAGAAUGCUUCACUAGCUCCAUCUGUGGUAUAGACUUCUGGACCUCCUUGGGUGUGUCUGCCGGUUUAGAUUUGUCGGCCUCUUUGGGUUUUUCUAUGCCUUUAGGUUUGUCUGCAAGCUGUGGCUUGGGCUUCUCGGGCUCUUUGAUCUCGAUGCUUUUGAUAACACUCCCACCUUUGUAGCAAAUCUUGUCCCUUAUCUUUUCAGGACUGCAGCAUACCACUUUGAUCACCACUUGGUUUUGCUUCUCGUCAUAUAUCUGAUCUUGUAUUUCUCUUGUUCACAAACACACAUUAAUUUACUCAGUUUACAUUUAAUCUAAAUUAGUCUUAUUUUCCUAAAAAGAACAAACUUUAACUAUGGUUUUUCAUCAAAUAACUAUAGACGAAUCAAGGAGAAGAGAGACUCACGAGGGAAUUUACGAAGAACUUUUUUGACCUUCUUGUAGCAUUUGUGACACUGAAGAUCCACCUUCAGCACCAUAAUCGUAACCUGAAUUAUCCAUUUUUAAUAUUAAUAGAAAAAAUAUGUACAUUAACCAAAGAUUGACAAGAAUGAAUCUUCAGAAAAUAUAUAAAUAUACAGAAGAUUGUUGUACAAAAGUGUAGACAAAAAGAAAUGGAACAUUGCUGCUGGACAAUCAGGGUUCUGACUGACUGAGAGGGAAGAACCAUGGUGAAGGUAUGUGGCAAAAUCAGUAACAAAGAGAGAGAGAGAGAGAGAGAGAGAGAGAGAGAGAGAGAGGCGAAAAACAACAAAAUAGCACAGAGGAGGGGACAUGGGUUCUUAUUAGGAUAUAAAUAAAAGAAUGGGAACCACAAAAACUUAAACAAGAGCUUAAAGCCUUUUAGUUUUAGCCGUACAAAUCCUCAUUUGGGUUAUCUGCUUAUCCUUGGAAGAAGAAAAUGAAGAGAACGCAAACUAUACCAAAUAUUACGUACCUUUUCCUUUUCCCCCAUUGCAGUGAGUAGUGGAAUGAGAACUUCUCAACUAAAAUGAUUGAAUGGGACUACUGCUCUCAUGAAACCGACUUUUAUAAUUAUUAGUUAUGAGCACGCACCAUGUGUGUGAACAAUUUCAUUUUGUUUUUUGUUUAUUAAGAAGUGUGAUUAGUUUUUAAAAUUUUAAAAAGAGUAUGAAAAAAUGAUGAUGGAACAAUUUCUCUUAAUAAGUGCAUAUUUUAUCUUAAUAUUACAUAAUUACUAUUUUGCCCUCCUUAUGUAAAUAUUAUGUAUCAAAAGUGAGGGUAAAAUAGGAAAAAUAGAGAUAUGUUUGUCAUUUUCUCAAAAGAUACAAAAUUACUAUUUUGCCCUCCUUAUGUAAGUAUUGUGUAUUAAAAGUGAGAGAAAAAUUGGAAAAAUGUGCAAAAGAUACAAAAUUACUAUUUUGCACUCCAUAUGUAAGUAUUGUGUAUGAAAAGUGAGGCCAAAAUUGGAAAAAAGGGGGAAAAAGUUGACAACAAGGGUUUUCUUAAUAUAUACUAUAGAUAUAUACAUAUUUCUACAAAAAUAUAUAAAAAUAGGAAUAUAAUUCGGUGGAACAAAGCAAAGAGAAAGAGAGAAGGAGAGAGCAAUAUAGGAAGGUUGAUUUCAUGCUAUAUGGUGGACAAAAGUUUCAUUGUAACUGUAAUACGAGUGGUAUACCAUGUAUAAGUGGUGAGAAAUUUUAUUUUUUAAGUUAUUAAUUUUUUUAACACAAGUAGCUCAUUAUUUUUAUAAUAACAUGUACUGUAUCAUUCUGUAUUCUGAACACGCUGAAAGAUCUCUACAUGAUUGAGGGUUUUCGUUAUACGAAGAUAGUUUCUAAUGAUCGCUAAAAAUUGCACUUUCUUGCACAUGUAUGUGCUGGCUUUGAUUCACCCACCUCAACUUCCAUACUUGCCAUGUAUGUGCUAAUAUUAUUUUAAGUAAAUGAGUCCAUGAUCAAAAUAAAAUUACAUCCUAAGUUUAUUAAUUAUUUAAGUUCACAUAGAGUUUGGUGGAGAGGAGAGCUGCCAAUAUUAUUUCAAGAUCGCCAAAUUAAUGGAGAAAAAACUAUAUUGUAAGGUCGACAGUUUGGUCAAGUUCACUUAUGGAUCAUGCACCCCCACAUGGCACCUGUAAAUUCCUCCAGUUGUCCCUAGCUCGGUGCCACCCAUCUUUGACUAGCUACUUGAAGUUUGGUUUGCUAAUCCAAACCGGUGAAGACACGUCUAGUGAUUAGGAUAACGACUUGGAUGCAACUGAUACUUCAUCAUUUUAGAACCAGGGGUUUCGAUUUACCGGCAUACGUACAUACAUGACGCAUCACAUAUAUGUGGAAUUUGGCGUGGAAAAAAUGAAUGUAAUACCCCUAUUACCUGCAAUGUACUGGAGAGAGAAUGGAUGAUCAAAUUUCAAAAAGCGUCGGCUCCAGACGACAGAAGUGUGGCUACUGCCUAAGAAAACCGCUCCAAGUGUCCCAAUUUCAUAGAGGUGGGCUGGCUCACACGAUAGUGGUUGAUCAAUCCGAUUUGAUCUUUUCUUCUUGUUUAAGGGUUUAGCGGUCCAUUUAUUAAGUGCAUCACAGCUCAUUCAUUUGUACGUAUGACUUGAUAUGUUUCGUGUUGAUACAACCGACAUGGGAAAUGAGGAUGAGAUUAGUGGACAUUAGGUGUGUCGAUAUUUAAAUGUGAAAGUUUUAACGAAAAAUUCACGGUAUUGUUCAUUUUAACGAAAAAUCACAUUUGUACACUAAAAAAUCAAACAUGGUACCAUGCACUUUACUCUUUAUUUUAUCUUUAUCGUUAAAACUCUUUUCAAACCAUUUUCAUUGAUUUUCCUUUUAAAUUAAUUACUUGUUUACUUAAUUAUCUUUUUGGUGCAAUGAGGUUUCAAUACUAGAAAGUAGUACACUAUGUUAGAGUAAAUGUAGAAAUAUAGAAAAUCAACUAAAGAAUGACUUUGAGGUACGACUUGAAUCGUUUCUUUAAAUUGUUAUUUGUCCACACUCGAAUGUUUGCUAAAGGGUUAUUGGCAAAUCACUUCCAGGAUACAACAAAGUAUGAAAUAUUCGAUUAGCAAAACCGAAUUGUAUUCCCUUAGAAAUAACUAGAAAGAAAUUGUAUGAAUGUGAUAUGGAGAAAGAAGAGAGCAAAGAAAUUGUGUAGACAACAAAUUUCUCAAAGAAUUUUCUCUUCUUCCAAUGUUAUCAAUAUAUAGAGAGAAUUGCACAUGUUCAAGUUAAUCGAAAGUACAUAACUUUUGAAGUCAUAUUGGUUCAAUAUGUCAUAUCUGUUUGAACAUAUACAAAGCAUUAUCCAAAGGGCAUUUUAAUGAGUAUAUCUGAUGAAGAGCACCAAUUACCUAAAGAUCAUAUUUGCUAGGAAAAUGAUUACACUUGUUGACCAUGAGUCAUGUCUUUUUUGGCAACAAUCAAAAGAUGCGGUUUUUAAAUUGAAGAGAUGUGAUUGUUGGGAAGGAAUCCAACUCUAUUCUCUGCCAAUACAAAACGCACGCAUAUGCAUAUACAUAUUUUAUAUAUCUAUAUAUAUAUAUAUAUAUAUAUAUAUAUAUAUAUUCUUGAAAUAUCCUACAAUCAAGGUUUUAAAAAUCGCUAGGCGCUAAUCGGGCGGCGGGCUGGGGCCUAGCGCCUAGGCGGGGCCUAGGCGGGAGCCUAGGCGGACUAGGCGGAUUUAAGUAAAUCUAUCAUAUUUCAAGUAAAUAAGUGUCUGCUUCUACUUGAAAUAUAUAUAAUUUCAUCAUAAACUACAAAACAGAAUGCAUAUAUAUCAUGAAGUAUUGGAACAUAAUGAAAACAUGUGAAAUAAGAAUAUAAUGUUUGUUCAUUCAAGUAUGCAACAAGUCUCUUACAAUUUAUUGGAAAAAAACAAAAUACAAAAUGAAAGUUAUGUAUUUUCUGUCUAAGUGAGUUGCAACCUAGGCGGGUCUAGGCGGGCUAGGCGGAUGCCUAGGCGGGCUAGGCGGGUGCCUAGGUGGUCUAGGCGGUGGGCUGGGGCCUAGGCAUUAAUCGGGGCGGUGGGCUAGGGCCUAGCGCCUAGGUGGGGCCUAGCGCCUAGGUGGGGCCUAGGCGGGGAUUUUUAGAACAGUGCCUACAAUACACACCCUAACAAUGGUCAAAAGUAGUGUGCUGGUGUAUCAUGUUGCCUAGCUAGCUACAUAUUCAUAUUUUGUGGUUGCGAACUGGCUUAUGGGAUUGAGGCAACACAAAAAAUGGUGAGUUUUUCAGGCAACACUCAUGUGUGCCGAUCAAUUAAGAGUUCAAAAUCGUGAAAAUAUAAUGUACGUACUACGUAUACCAGUUCAAUAAAUCUUUUUUACUUUAUACAAGACCAACGUGCUUUGUCUUGUUAUUUGAUUGACUAAAGUUGUUAUCGUUUGCUAAUAUAUAUUUGUGACCUCAGCUUAUCAAGAAAUAUGAUUUAAUAAUAAUAGUUUUGUUGUCCUUUUGGCUCUCUUAAUUUGAUUCUAAACAUUAAAAUUUGAUUUCACUUUCCUGCCUGCUUCCUGCUUCUGCAUGCAUACAAUAUUGCUAAGUUUUGCAUUUUGGACAUAUGGAAUGUUUUGUAACUCAACUUUUGUCCUUGAAUUACGUUGUUUUGUGGAUGCACGGGAUCGGUGGUUAGAGAUCUCGUCUUGAUCGCUGUCAUGCAAAUAGUACAUACGUAAUACAAAGAUUAGGCAGAGGUAACUUUGUGUAAUUUCUGGUGCCGCUCUAUGCUGUGCGCAGGUGUGCGCAUCGCCUGCGCGUAACGUCUUGGAGAUGAAAUCCCAGCCUUCCACCUCUAAGGCCUUAAAACCAACGGAUGUGAUGAGUGUUAAAUCCCUUGUACGCAACCCAUGCGCAGGGGAGAAAUUCAGCCGACACUGUUUUCUCACCCUGAUCGAAUGGACUUAUAGCAGCUUCAAUAUACCCACCACAGGCCUAAGUUUGUAGAUAAAAUCACCACUAAGAAUUUGGGCCGAUUCUGAAAUAUCGAAGCCCAAACUUAGAAGAGAUUUUAAAACGGGAUUUGAGAUUUUUCGUCACCAGACUUGACCCAGCGAAGCUGGCAACGAAUACAGUACACACCCACCCACGCCCACCUAGGAAAUCCCUUAAUCUUAACGCACAAAACCCUUUGGGAAAUUGACAUUUUGAGAAAAACAUUUUGAAAAGCUUCCUGGCUCAGAAAAUGAUAAAACCAUGCAACCCAUAACCAUAUUUUAUUGUGUUAGUGCUUUGUACAAAGGAUUAAUCACCGGUGUUUAUAUAACACAUGAAAGUAACAUAUUCCUGCUCAUCUAUCUCAUUUGUAGAAGAGAUGUAAACGUUUCUAUUCGACUUUUAAUAGAUUUCUCUUCCCAUUGAGUAGAGAAACGUAAAGAGUGAGGUUCUCAUUUUGAUCCCGUUAAAAUUUGAAUGGUGUUGUUGUGUCCCAUAUAUUGGUCCCAUUGAGUACAGAAAUGUCUACAUGAUUCUAUCACAAGCAAAUAACAUGCCAUGUAUCUUGAGAAUUAUGAUAGCAGAAAUAAGCCUUAGAAAGUAAGCAUCUAAGGUCACUUCAGUCUGUGAAGGUCAGGGCCGGCCUUACGGGUAGCCAGGUAAGGCAAUCGCCUAAUUCCCCCAACUUCUAGGGGCCCCCAAAUUUUUUAUAUGUAUGUAUUAGUAUAUAAAUACUUUUAAAGUAAGACGGAUAACACAAAAAACUUGGUGGCGUAGUGGAAAGGAAAGCAUUUAUUUGGUUACCAUCUCCUGUUCAAAACAUGAUGAAGACUCCCCAAACAAGUAUUGUUUUUCCAAAUAUAAUUAGAAAGCCUAAUCUAAUAACAAUUUAGAUUAUGUAAACUCAAUUAGUACAUAUGCAUCUAAAAAUGCGAGACGGAUUCUCUAAUAUUUAUAUAUCUUUCUUGUUUUAGUAUUAAUUUUUAAUAGUAUUUGAUGUAGAAAUACAUUUUUUUUUCAUGUAUUAGCGAAUUAUUUAUUCUACAUAUCAAUGUACAAAGAGUCGGGGGUUCGAUAAUUCUAGAGCCCCACUUUUAAAGCUCGCCUAGAGCCUUCAAAUUCUCAAGCUGGCCUUGGUGAUGGUGCCAAUUGGCCUUUCCUAUAGCUUGAAUGGAAACUGAAGUUACAACCAUACACUUGUUUUGUACCUCCUGUCAUUCUCAUAUUGGAGUGACUCCCAAAUGGUUUCGUAGCAUACAAAAGGAAACUGGACUUUUUCACUUCGAUUUCUUAAAACUCAUUUAGCUAUGAUCUAACCGAUGAUGUUAUUCAAAUCACAUCAUCGACCUUGUUUCCAUCUGAUGUCCUAUCCUACAUAUAUUGAUUAUAAAUUUAAAAAGAGAGGGGGAGAGUCCAAGAGAGAGAGAGAGAGGGACAAUAGGAAAAAUGGGGAAGGGUCCCUUCCCUUCUCUUUCAAGCGCAUUACUAUUGAGUACGAUGCAAGAUUUCUAAGAACUUCACCAACUUUGUAAGACUAAUGAGAGAAGAUUUCAUAGUUCAAUUCUAAUGGUACAAAACUGUUCUCUACGCCCAGAGAGAAUUCCAAAAACAUAUAAUAGAGAACUGAGAAGCAGAAAAUACCUGUUUCACGUUACAUUUUCAGUGUGAUGAGCUUUGUCAGUAAACUAAACAGCCCAACAUCUAAAGCAGUAACUAACUCAGAUGAACUUCUAGACUCUAACCAUGACUUGACUGCAACUUUUGUUGUAAAAAACCAGCCAGCCUUGUCUAAGGCCUCAUGGAAUGGAUCAUUCAAUUCCUUCAAAUGCGACUAAAAUACACCCGCCAGACCUUUGUCUGAAUACUUAUAUUUCCCAUAUCCAGUAUUAAUUCCAAGCAACGGCAGAAGCUCCUCACCGGAUUCCAAUACCCGAGAUAGGUCAUUAAUCCAAACAUGUAAUGCAGUCAGAGCUGCCCCAAGAGAGAGGCCAUUGAGAUACAAAGACCACUGGGUCUGCGACCUUGACUGUAAGCCUAUAUAUAUCUGAAGUGUGAUCCCCAAGUCUAGUAGCUCACAGGCUCUCUCCAAGAGAUUGAGGUUCACACAAAGAUCAAUCAGGCAAUUGGAGUAAGCCUUCUUUACAUCCGAACCAAUCGAGUUAAAAAGUUGUGAAUCUUCGUUGUUGAACUUUUCACUACUUUCUUGCUUCUCCACUAAAAGUUUUAACACAUACCCUAGUUUUUCAUCAGCCCUCUCAAUGCAAUUCACAAGCUUGCAAAGUUCUUCCUUUGGUGUUUAAGUCAUCACAUUCAGGAGACAACCACAGAAACGCUCAUCUGGUGUUAUACCCAAUUCUAGGAGUUGAUUGAAUAUCUUGACAACGUCAUCAGUACGUUUUGCUUUACCCUAGCAUUGGAUGAGUGAUGUCAAAAUAAAGAUAUUUGGCUCAAAACCAACUUCCAACAUCUCAUUCAAUGUUGCUUCUGCCUCUAUGACUUUCCACACUACAAGAAUACAUGGUAAUCAUGGACGAAAAGGUCCAACUGUCAGGCUUCAGUGUUUCAAUACUCUUCAUUUCUUAAAAAAUCUCAAUGGCUUCGUCGGUGUAAACAACAUCAGCACACAUAGCUAAAAGGGUGUUAUAGAGAAUUACAUUUAACUCCAAUCCCUUUUCCUUCAUCUCUUUAUAAACAUUAAGAGCAUCAUCACAGUAACGAGCUAUACCAUAGGCCCUUAAAAGAGUUGCAUAGGUUACCCAAUUUGGUGAAAGCUCCUUGCUUAUCAUCUGUCGGUAAAUUUUCUUGGCCUGCCAAGGUCUCCUAGCUCUUCCCAUAGCAUCCAACAAAGUGUUAUAAAUAACCAAGUUUGGCUUAGCCCCUAUAGCUUUCAGUUCCUCAUAAACAUUCAAGCACCCAUCAAAAUUCCCCGAUUGCCCGUGAAUUUUGAUGAACGUAGAAAACGUCACUGGAUCAAUGCGCCGCUUCUCAGUCCUGGCCCGGUCAUACAAACUGAAAGCCAUUUCUACCUUACCCACACGUCCAUAGGCGUCAAUCAUAGCCGAAUAGGUAACAUCAUCCGGAUUACACCCAAAACCGGGAAUCUUCUCAAACCACUCCACAGCCUUAUCAAGCAAAGAACACAUCAAAGAGCAACUAAUCAUAGUCGAAAAGGUAACAUUAUCGGGGUUAACACCUCUCUGAAGUAUUUCGUCGAACAGCUUCUCUGCUCUCUCCAUAUCCUUACCCUUCCUACACACUUUCAAAGUCACAUUAUCCAAAAUCACCUCCCGCUUCGGUUUCAACCUCUGCUGAAAGUAGUUAAGCGCAAGCAAAGCAUUUUCCGGAUUGUUCAUGCUAUUCAGAACCACCACAGCGUUUGGUUCCAAAAUAUAAUCCCCUAGACCUUUUAAAGCUUCGAAAACAUCACUUUCAAUCGGAGUGCAAGAGUUCAAAUACUCAGCUACUUUCACCAAAGAAGCUUACCUGGAAUCGUAGGACUUGUGCCGCAGCUGUGAAGUUCUGGGGCUGCUGGGAUUGACCCAGAUAUAGCUUUUCGAGAAAGACCCGGAAUUUCCAUCUGGCCUCUGAAUAUUUCCAAUUUCUGGAGCUUUGGAGUUCUGGGCUUCUUCUGCAACUGGGUCUUGCAAAGAAACAUGGUGUAUUUGCAGAGAGGUUCUUGACUGAAAUUGCAGUGAAGGAAAACUGAGUCUGUGGGUGUUAAUUGCAAGGCUUAGGAGUCGGAAAUUAGUCGGGGAAGAAGAAGAAGGGAGAGAGCGGGGGGAGUUUGGGGGUUGCGGAAGAGAAAGGAGGGUGAGGAGCACAAGUGAUAAGCCAUUUUCCUCACCCUGUGGGGGAUUAUGAAAGGUGCAUUUCUUUUGCUUUGCAUUCACAGGACAAAUAUCUUUUUGAACUUGUGUCGGGCCUGGAAGUGAUUUUACGGCUUCGGAAGAUGUUCGAAGCCCAACUUGAAUUUCCAAGAGCUUUAUGAUCAGAUAAAAAGUUUAUUAAAAUAGGCAUUGUUUUGUAUAAGCAUUAAGGAAAAUGUUAUGAUUAAGCUUUUUCAUAGCAGUUUUAUCAUCGUUUUGUAGGUCCAGAUGUUCAAAAGCUUACGUGUAGGAAAGAUGAGUUUAAUAUAAAGAAAUCACAAACCAUAACAAAAUUGUGAGUGUUAGCUCAUAAAUUUUGUAGAAAAUGCAACAAUUGAUGUCAUUUAAGGUGUUCAGAAGCAUUCUUAUCGUAAUAGAAAAUUAAGAAUAAAAUCACCUCCACAUCCAAAUCUCCUUAAUGUCCCAUAAGAAUUUUAAGAUUCUUACGGUUAAAAUUUGACACAAAUAUAGGUUAUAUAUAUAUAUAUAUAUAUUUUAGGUUAUAUAUAGUUCUUGGCAAAAAAUCUAUAAAUCAAUAAAACACCGUAAAUAUUAGCUCACGAGAAAAUAUUAAAUUAACUAUUGAGCAUAAGAAUAUGUUGCAGAGGUAGAAAAAUGUUACGAGCCGUUAGGAAAUGGUGGGUUUUUGUAGGGUAUCAGCCGGAAUACAAACAUGGUGUUGGAUUAGUAGACACGUGGGGUUUUGGCUUUUGCUUAUUUUUGUAUAAACAUAUCAAUUAAUUCUCGAACAAACAAAAGGAGAAUGGAAUGAAAAGCAGGCAUAGGAGUAGUUCUUGUUUCUGGGAACACAUUAUUAUACACGUAUCUAGGUUGCUGCUGCCGCUCUCUCUCUCUCUCUCUCUCUCUCUCUCUCUCUCUCUCUCUCUCUCUCGUCGACAUUUGGAGGGGCCGAGGGAUCAAGGAUUUGUUUAAUUUAGAGUAAUGUUAAGAAAACAAAAUUUAUAAAUAAAAUUUACAAAUUAAAUGAUGUGUCGCUAAUAAGAAAUUAACACAUUUAUAAACGUUUAAGUAAUAAUCAAAUCAUCAACUUUCAUGUCAUUUAGUUAAUAAAAUUUAGUCUACAAAUUUAGUCUUCUUAAUAUUACUCUUUAGUUUAUGGUAGAAUCUAACUAUGUGGGGCUGAAAAUGAUAUAGUUGAGCAUUGUUAGACGAGAAAUGGUAGCUAAAUUUCAUUCUUUAGUUUACUCAUAUGAGCCCUGGGAGGCCAAGGAACACAUUAUCUUGAUCAAAUAGUGUAACUCAUAUAAGCUUCAGAAGAUAAGAGAUUGCUUCGGGAUGGGUUUUUGUUUUUGUAAAGAAAGAAAAAAAUAUAGUUUAGAUUAGAACAUGCUGGUAGGAGAGAAAAAUGGUUAGCUUUUGGAAAUAUAGGUAAAUAUAGAAAAAUAAUAAUGAGUUUUUUUAAAAGAAAUCAAAAUUUUGUUUGUGUUAAUAGAGUUCAUGUUACAUUUAAUAAAUGAGAAAGAUACGUAGCUAGAUUCUUCUGUUCACACCUCCUCAAUUCCACUCUUGACCAAUAAGAACGCACGCGCACGCACUGUGCAGGACAAAGAAGGGAAUGUGGAAUGGAAACUUUUAUUGCAUUGAAAAUUGUAGCAGCCACCAACUUCAUCUUCAUCUUCAUCUUCAUGAUGAGAUGUAUCUCUCUCUCUAUAGUCUAUACUAAUGAUAUAAGAACAGAUUAACGUGAUUGUGACUUGACAACCACCAAGAUCAACGACCAACUUUAUUAUUCACUUAACAAUAUAUGACCCUCCUAUAAUAUUAAUAUCGAACACUGCUAAAAUAUUAUCCCGAGAUUGAAGAAGUUAUCACGGUCCAACAAGAUGAUCGAUGAUUUACAUGACUGUGCAAGCUGAGGGAUUUUCUUCACUGAAACAGUCAGGGCGGGUAACGCAAUACCCCCUGUUGCCACCACCGUAACUGUCAUACACAGGCCUCCCAUAGUAACCAUCAUACUGGAUGUACGAGGCUAGCCCCCCGCUAUAACCACUGUGGCACGGCCCAGCUGCAUGCCCCUGGUAACAAUCCAUACAACACGCUUGGACAUGCGAUGAGGGUCCAGGAUUUAGCAGGCCAACUUUAGGUUUACCGUCAUCUUUAGGCGUACUGUCAUCUUUAGGCUUACCGUCACCUUUAGGCUUGCCGUCAUCUUUAGGCUUACCUUCAUCUUUAGGCUUACUGUCAGCUUUAGGCUUGCCUUCAUCUUUAGGCUUACCGUCAGCUUUAGGCUUGCCAUCAUCUUUGGGUGCUUUGGGCUUGCCGUCAUCUUUGGGUGCCUUGGGCUUCUCGGGCUCUUUGAUCUCAAUGCUUUUGAUGGCACUCCCACCUUUGCAGCAAAUCUUGUCCCUCAUCUUUUCUGGACUGCAGCAUACCACUUUGAUAACCACUUGGUUUUGCUUCUCGUCGUAUAUCUGGUCUCGUAUUUCUCUUGUUCACAAACACACAUUAAUUUACUCAGUUUACAUUUAAUCUAAAUUAAUCUUAUUUUCCCAAAAAGAAAGAACUUUAACUUUGGUAUUUCAUCAAAUAACCAUAUAGAUGAAUCAAGGAGAAAAGAGACUCACGUGGGAAUUUACAAAGAACUUUUUUAACCUUCUUGUAGCAUUUGUGACACUGAAGAUCUACCUUCAGCACCAUAAUCGUAACCUGAAUUAUCCAUUUUUAAUAUUAAUAGAAAAAAUAUGUGCAUUAACCAAAGAUUGACAAGAAUGAAUCUUCAGAAAAUAUAUAAAUAUACAGAAGAUUGUUGUGCAAAAGUGUAGACAAAAAGAAGUGGAACAGUGCUGCUGGACAAUCAGGGUUCUAACUGACUGACAGGGAAGAAUCAUGGUGAAAGUAUGUGGCCAAAUCUGUAACACAGAGAGAGAGAGAGAGAGAGAGAGAGAGAGAGAGAGAGAGAGAGAGAGGCAAAAAGCAACAAAAUAGCACAGAGGAAGGGACUUGGAGACUUAUUAGGAUAUAAAAAAAAAAGAACAGGAACCACAAAACUUAAACAAGAGCUUAAAGCCUUUUAGUUUUAGCCAUACAAUCAUCAUUUGGGUUAUCUACUUAUCCUUGGAAGAAGAAAAUGAAGAGAACACAAACUAUACCAAAUAUUACGUACCUUUUCCUUUUCCCCCAUUGCAGUGAGUAGUGGAUGCUCUCAGGCUCAGAUCUGGACGAGAACUUCUCAACUAAAAUGAUUGAAUGGGACAAAAACUUUAACGAAAUCAACUUUUAUAAUUAUAUAUGCAUAUUUAUACAAAAAUAUAUAAAAAUAGGAAUACAAUUCGGUGGAACAAAACAGAGAGAGAGAGAGAGAGAGAGAGAGAGAGAGAAGGAGAGAGCAAUAUUUGAUUAAAGUGGCUUAUUAAAAAAAAAUAUGACAAAUUGCUUGUUAAGAAAGAGUGAAAAAGAAAGAGGGAGAGAGCGCACAAUAGUUCGUACAUAGGGCGAAUGGGCUGCGAACACGUUGAUAUCGGUAGGUUGAUCCCACGCUAUGGUGGACAAAAGUUUCAUUGUAACUGUAAUACGGAUAAUACAACAUGUGUCAGUGAUGGAAAAUUUUAAUUUUUAAGUUAUUAAUUUUUUAACACAAGUAGCUCAUUAUUUUUAUAAUAACAUGUGAUGUAACAUUCUAUAUUUUGGACACACUAAAAGUUAUGUCAUUAUAAUAAUUGAGAGUUGUCGUUAUAGAGGCAGAUUGUCUACCCUCCUGUUUGGGUGCCCAUCUCAUCCUCACAUAUUUUGUGCGGUCAUGGUUAAACCACGUUUACAUUUUAUAUGCUCAUUAUUUUUUGUCUUAUUAUCUUUAUAAAAAAAAUUAAUAUAAAAUAUUGACGUGCCUUAACUGUAACCGUACAGAUAGAAGAUGAUGAAAAAAACACCUAAACAGGAGGCAGACAAUACGCCUCCUCGUUAUACGAAGAUAGGUGACUUCCUGAUGAUCGCUAAAAGUUGAAAUUUCUUGCACAUGCAUGUGCUGGCUUUGAUUCACCCACCUCACCUUCCAUACUUUCCAACUUCCUGCUAAUAUUAUUAUAAGUAAAUGAUUAAUUAUCAAAAUAAAAUUACAUCCUAAGUUAAUUAUAAUUAUUAAAGUUCACAUAGAGUUUGGUGGAGAGGAGAGAUGCCAAUAUUAUUUCAAGAUCGUCAAAUUAAUGGAGAAAAAACUAUAUUGUAGGGUCGAUAGUUUGGUCAAGUGCAAUUAUGGAUCAUGCACCCCCACAUGGCACAUGGAAAUUCCUCCAGUUGUCCCUACAUCUUAAGUAACAACAGGUGCCACCCAUCUUUGACUAGCUACUUGAAGUUUGGUUUGUUAAUCCAAACCGGUGAAGAAACGUCUGGUAAUUAGGUUGGAGUAGGAUUCUUUAUCCUUUUAUUUCCAUUCUUUUUUCUUCCCUUCUCUUACAUGUUACUUUUUGUCUUAUUGUUUUUAUAAAAAAAAUCAAUAUAAAAUGUUGACGUAACUAAACCAUAAUCAUUCAAAUAAAAGAAGAGGGAAAAAAAGAGAGAUUAAGAGGAAAGCGAAUCCUCUUCCAAUUAGGAUAACGAUUUUCAUUCAAUUGAUAUGGCAUCAUUUUAGAACCACACGUACAUACAUGCUGCAUCAUAAACCCUAUUACCUGCAAUGUACCGGACAGAGAAUGGAUGAUCAAAAUCCAAAAAGCGUGGGCUCCAGAUGACAAGAGCGUGGCUGAGGUUCAAAUGUCCCAAUUUCAUAGAGGUGGGUUGCUCACACAAUAGUGGUUGAUCAAUCCGAUUUGAUCUUUUCUUCUUGUACGUAAGUGCAUCACAGCUCAUUCAUUUGUACGUAAGACUUGAUAUGUUUCGUUUUGAUACAACCGACAAGAAAAUGAGGAUGAGAUUAGUGGACAUUAGGUGCAACGAUAUUUAAAUUAAUUAGUCGUUCACUUAAUUAUCUUUGUUUCAAGACUAGAAGUAGUACACUACACACCCUAACAAUGGUCAAAAGUGGGGAGUAUGAUUCUCUACCCUUCCAUGUCCUUCUAUUUGAACGGUCACGGUUAAGUCAUGUCCUCCUAUUUGAAUGGUUAAAUAUGAUUUAAUAAUAAUAGUUUUGUUGUCCUUUGGCUCUCUUGAUUUGAUUCUAUACAUUAAAAAUUGAUUUCACUUUCCUGCCUGCUUCCUGCUUCUGCAUACAUACAAUAUGGCUAAGCUUUGCAUUUUGGACAUAUCGAAUGUUUUUUAACUCAACUUUUGUCUUUGAAUUACGUUGUUUUGUGGAUGCACGGGAUCGGUGGUUAGAUAUCUCGUCUUGAACGCUGUCGUGCAAAUAGUACAUACGUAAUACAAAGAUUAGGCAGAGGUAACUUUGCGUAAUUUCUGGUGCCGCUCUAUGCUGUGCGCAGGUGUGCGCAUCGCCUGCGCAUAACGUCUUGGAGAUGAAAUCCCAGCCUUCGACCUCUAAGGCCUUAAAACCAACGGAUGUGAUGAGUGUUAAAUCCCUUGUACGCAACCCCAUGCGCAGGGGAGAAAUUCUGCCGACACUGUUUUCUCACCCUGAACGAAUGGACUUAUAGCAGCUUCAAUAUACCCACCACAGGCCUAAGUUUGUAGAUAAAAAUCACAACGAUGAAUUUGGGCCGAUUCUGAAAUAUCGAAGCCCAAACCUAGAAGAGAUUUUAAAAUGGAUUUUAGAUUUUUCGUCACCAGACUCGACCCAGCAAAGUUGGCAACUAAUACAGUACACACCCACCCACCCACGCCCACCUAGGGAAUCCCUUGAUCUUAACGCACAAAACCCUUUGGGAAAUUGACAUUUUGAGAAAAACUUUUUUAUAAGCUUCCUGGCUCAGAAAAUGAUAAAACCAUGCAACCAAUAACCAUAUUUUCUUGUCUUAGUGCACUGUACAAGGGAUUAAUCGGCGGUGUCUAUACAUAACACAUGAAAGUUAACAUUAUUCCUGCUCAUCUAUCUCAUUUGUAGAAGAGAUGUAAACGUUUAUAUUUAACUUUUAAUAGAUUUCUCUUCCCAUCUAGUAGAGAAACAUAAAGAGUGAGGUUUUUACAUUUUGAUCCCGUUAAAAUCUGAAUGGUAUUUUUCUGUCCCAUAUAUUGGUCCCAUUGAGUAGAGAAAUGUCUACAUGAUUCUAUCACAAGCAAAUAACAUGUCUUGUAUCUCGAGAAUUAUAAUAGCGGAAAUAAGCCUAAAAAGUAAGCAUCUAAGGUCACUUUAGUCUAUGAUGGUCAGGGGCGGCCCUGAGGGUAGCCUGGUAAGGCAACUGCCUAAGGCCCUCAACUUCUGGGGGCCCCCAUUUUUUUUUUAUAUGUAUAUAUAGUGUAUAAAUACUUUUAAAGUAAGAAGGAUAACACAAAAAACUUGGUGGCGUAGUGGAAAAGAAGGCAUUUAUUUGGUUACCAUCUCUUGUUUGAAACAUGAUGAAGACUCCCCAAACAAGUAUUGUUUUUCCAAAUAUAAUUAGAAAGCCUAAUCUAAUAACAAUUUGGAUUAUGUAAACUCAAUUGGUACAGUUGCAUCUAAAAAUGCGACACAUGUAUUAUCUAAUGUUUAUAUAUCUUUCUUGUUAUAGUAUUAAUUUUUAAUGGUAUUUGAUGUAGAAAUACAUUUUUUUAAUGUAUUAACAAAUUAUUUUUUCUACAUAUCAAUGUACAAAGAGUUGGGGAUUCAAUGAUUCUAGAAUCCCACUUUUAAAGCUCGCCUAGAGCCUUCAAAUUCACAAGGUCGGCCCUGGUGACGGUUUUUGUACCUCCUGUCAUUCUCAUGUUGGAGUGACUCCCAAAUGGUUUUGAUCAUAAGGAAUUUUCAAAACUUUCGUAGCAUACAAAAGGAAACUGGACUUUUUCACUUCUUCGAUUUCUUAAACCUCAUUCAGCUAUGAUCUAACCGAUGAUGUUAUUCAAAUCACAUCACACAUAUAGGCGCAUUACUACUGAGUACGAGGAUGGAUUUCUAAGAACUUCACUAACUUUGUAAGACUAAUGAAAGAAGAUUUCAUAGUUGAAUUCUAAUGGUACAAAACGGUUCUCUACGCCCAAAGAGAAUUCCAAAAACAUAUAAAUAGAGAACUGAGAAGCAGCAAAUACCAGUUUCACAUUGCAGUUUUAGUGUGAUGAGUUUUCCAGUAAACUAAACAGCCCAACAUCUAAGCAGUAACUAACUCAGAUGAACUUCUAGACUCUAACCAUAACUUGACUGCAACUUCUAUUGUAAAAAACCAGCUAGCCUUGUCUAAGGCCUCAUGGAAUAGAGCAUUCAAUUCCUUCAAAUGCGACUCAAAUGCACUCACCACACCUUUGUCUGGAACUUAUGUUUCCCAUGUCCAUUAUUAAUUCCAAACAACGGCGAAAGCUCCUCACCGGAUUCCAAUACCCAAGAUAGGUCAUUGAUCCAAACAAGUAAUGCAGUCAGAGCUGCCCCAAGAGAGAGGCCCUUAAGAUACAAAAAUCACUGGGUCUGAGACCUUGACUGUAAGCCUAUGUAUAUCUGAAGUGUGAUCCCCAAGUCUAGUAGCUCACAGGCUCUCUCCAAGAGAUUGAGGUUCACACAAAGAUCAAUCAGGCAAUUGUAGUAAGCCUUCUUUACAUCUGAACCAAUCGAGUUAAAAAGUUGUGAUGCUUCGUUCUUUAAGUUUUCACUACUUUCUUGCUUUUCCACCAAAAGUUACCACAUCCCCUAGUUUUUCAUCAGCAAUCUCAAUGCAAUUCACAAGCUUGCAAUGUUCGUCCUUUGGUGUUUGAGUCAUCACAUUCAGGAGCUUGCAAAGUUCUUGCAAAGUUCUUCCUUUGGUGUUUGGGUCAUCACAUUCAAGAGAUAACCACAGAAACGCUCAUCGGGUGUUAUUCCCAAUUCUAGGAGUUGAUUGAAUAUUUUGACAACGUCAUCAAUGCGUUUUGCCUUACCGUAGCAUUGGAUGAGUGAUGUCAAAAUAAAGAUAUUCGGCUCGAAACCAGCUUCCAACAUCUCAUUCAAUGUUGCUUCUGCCUCUAUGACUUUCCCGCUACAAGAAUAUAUGGUAAUCAUGAACGAAAAGGUCCAACUGUCAGGCUUCAAUGUUUCAGAACUCUUCAUUUCUUCAAAAAUCUCAACGGCUUCGUCGGUGUAACCAACAUCAGCACACAUAGGUAAAUGGGUGUUAUGGAGAAUUACAUUUAACUCCAGUCCCUUUUCCUAAAGAGCAUCAUCACAGUAACGAGCUCUACCAUAGGCCCUUAAAAGAGUUGCAUAGGUUACCCAAUUUGGUGAAAGCUCAUUGCUGAUCAUCUCUCGGUAAAUUUUCUUGGCCUGCCAAGGCCUCCUAGCUCUUCCCAUAGCAUCCAACAAAGUGUUAUAAAUAACCAAGUUUGGCUUAGCCCCUAUAGCUUUCAUUUCUUCAUAAACAUUCAAGCACCCAUCAAAAUACCCUGAUUGCCCGUGAAUUUUGAUCAAUGUAGAAAAUGUCACUGGAUCAAUGCGCCACUUCUCGGUCCUAGCUCGGUCAUACAAACAUGGUGUUGGAUUAGACAAGUGGGGUUUUAGCUUUUGCUUAUUUGUGUAUAAACAUAUCAAUCAAUUCUCGAACAAACAAAACGAGGAAUGAAAAGCAGGCCUAGGAGUAGUUCUAUUUUCUGGGAACACAUUAUUACACACGUAUCUAGGUUGCUGCUGCUGCUUUUUCUCUCUUGUCGACAUUUGCAGGCGAAGAGGGAUCAAGGAUUUGUUUACUUUAGAGUAAUGUUAGGAAACUAAAUUUGUAAAUAAAUUUGCAAAUUAAAUGAUAUGUCAUUAACACUUAAGUAAUAAUCAGAUCAUCAACCUUCAUGUCAUUUAGUUUACAAAAUUUUGUUUACAAAUUUAAUCUCCCUAGCUACUCUUUAGUUUAUGGUAGAAUCUAACAAUGUGGGGAUUGAAAAUAAUGAUAUAGUUGAGCAUUGUUAGACGAGGAAUGGUAGCUAAAUUUCAUUCUUUAGUUUACUCAUAUGAGCCCUGGGAGGCCAAGGGUUUGCUUAUGGGUUAGGAAUUUACGUGGAUUGAAACACACUACCUGAUCAAUUAGUGUAACUCAUAUAAAUUCUGGGAAACCAAGAGAUUGCUUCUGGGUGGGUUUUUGUUUUUGGUAAUGAAAGAAGAAAAAAAAUAGUUUAGAUUAGCACACGCUAUGGUAGGAGAGAAAAAAGGUUAACUUUUGGAAAUAAAGGUAAAUAUAGAAAAAUAAUAAUGAGUUUUUUAAAAGAUAUAAAAAUUUUGUUUGUGUUAAUAGAAUUCAUGUUACGCUUAAUAAAUGAGAAAGAUAAGUGUAAAAUGCAAAUGAGGAAGGUAGCUAGAUUCUUCUGUUCACACCUCCUCAAUUACACUCUUGACUAAUUGUUUAUUAGUAGUUGAUGAAAAUCAACUUGCGAAAUAGGAAAUAACUAAUAAUGCACGUGCAGUGUGCAGGACAAAGAAGGGAACGUGGAGUGGAAACUUAUAUUGCAUUGAAAAUUGUAGCAGGCACCAACUUCAUCUUCAUCUUCAUGAUGGGAUGUAUUUCUUUCUCUCUAUGGUCUAUAUUAAUGAUUUAAAGAACAGAAUAACAUGAUUGGGACUUGACAAUGUUCAUGUGACUUGACAACCACGAACUUUAUUAUUCACUUAACAGUAUACAUGGCCAUUGGAACUGAACCGUUAACACGACCUGUUAAUAUUAGUAUUUGGAUGAAUAUUUAACGGGUCGGAUCGUUAACAGGUUGCUAAUGUGAACCCGUUAACAACUCACAUUAGUAACCCGUUAAAUAACGGGUCACUUUGGAUCAACCCGUGAACACCCAUUAGUUAAGGAUGUUUUAGUAAUUUCAGUAAAGUCUUAACAACAAAAUAUAAACUCUAUGAAAAAAAAAAAUAAUAAUAAUAGUUGUUAACGGAUGAAACGGGUGACCUGUUAGCUUAACGGGUUGGGUUCGGAUGAUCCAUUAACUUAACGGGUCAGGUUUAACCCGACCCAAAUCCAAUAAACCCAACCCGUUUACAGGUAUACUCUUAGGUGUGGUUUGGGGUUGAGAUUAUUUAAAAAAGAAAGUUGAGAUAAAAAAAAAGCUAGAGUAAAAUUUGUGUUUGGUAACUCACAGCGCGUUUACUAAUCCGUAAUCAAAUUGAGGGGAAUUGAAUUGAUGGGGAAUUGGAUUGAGGAGGAAUGGAAAUGAGGUGGAAUCAGAAUCAGAUUCAUGUUGUAGUUGUUUACUAAAACUGUCUGGAAUCGGAGUAGAAAUGACAUUAAACUAUAUAAAGUGUUUACUGAUUCACAUGAAUCGGAAUGAAAACUAAUGCGAUUACUAAAAUGCCCCUAUUUUAACCAAUUUAUUUUAUAUGUUAAUUAUUUUAAAUAAAAUUUUUAUCGUUUUAUUUUUAUUUUGAUUACUAUACAGAAUUUACAAAUAUGUAUUCUUGCUGGUAGAGAAGCUCUAGACAUAUGUAGAAGAGUCUUUAAUCACAUAGAAUUGUCCAAAUUUGAUCAUUUUUUAUUUGCUUCAUCCUAAACCGUAUUAGAUCAAAUUUACUUCCUUUUCUCUCUCUCCCUGUUUCCCCCAUUUUUCUCUGCAGCUGCUUGACCAGAUCUCGUUGCGGCAUCGUUCCACAUCGCGUUCGUCGUUGCGGCACCGUUCCAAUCGCGUUUGUCGUUGUUCCAUAUUCUUCUCUGCAUACACAGAAGAGAGAGAGGAGAGAGAGAGAGAACACGACGGCUCUGCAUUUUCUGGCGUCACUGUAGCUACGUGGGCAUUCUUCCCCUUCCAGUAAGUUGCUUCAGGUUCACUGCUUUUUCUUCUUCAUCAUCGUCGUCGUCUUCUUCUUCUUCUUCUUUUGUUGGGUGCUGUGGACGCAGGGGGCUUGGUUUUCUGGAAACAGCACGAAGCUUUGAUCGUAUACAUGGGUAUUUUGGGUACAAAAUUUUGAUUCCUGAUGGAGUGUUCUACCCGGAACUCAAAUACUACCUCUAUAGAGGUAAUCCAAUUCCGGGCAAUUCUGGAGUUGAAUUCCUGAUAUUGGGUGGUCCCCACAUAAAUUUUGAUUCCCUAAUUGCGAGUAUACGUCAGAAUGCAUUGGGGAAUAUCCAAUUUCGUUUCUCUCGAUUCCAAUCCCGAUAGGUAAACACGCCCUCAGCUUAUUUUCAAAGUCACUGUCAUUUUAAGCUGAAAAGUGGAAAAAAGCUGAAGCAGCAAAAUGCAGCUUCUCAAAACCAGCUUUUUUUUUUUCAAGAGGCAGGUGAACAGUAGAAUUUAAUGAAACUUUCACAAUCUCAGAAAUACCCUCCUCAAUUUCUCCUUCUUGCUGCAUUGAGCUCUUCAUGAGUCUCUGUCUCUGUCUCUUCUUUCUCUUUCUAGAACCAGAAGCUCUAAGUCCUUAAGGUUCAUUUUGGUUUCGGAUCGGGUCCUGCAUUUGUAUAAAUCGGAGCUGUUUGAUCGGCGCUAGAACGGAUUCGGAUUUCAACAAUCGAAUUCGCUUUUUGUCUAAUUGGAUGGUCUGAUUGGGGUUGAAGAUGAAUCCGCUCUGCUGCAUUGCAUCGGUUUCGAUGGAUCGCGACCGGGGCACCCCGGUGGCGGUGAAAAUGAAGAAUUUUGAUCUGGGUUUUUUCACAAAAAAAAAAGAAGGUGAUUUGAGCUUUUCAAAGAGAGGAUUUGGAUGGAGUGCUUGCAGUUGUAUCAUUGAAGAAGAAGACCAGAGGAUAAUAUAAUGGAAUAAAAAAUGGCAAAAGUGGAUUAAAAUAUCGUAAGAAUAAUGAGUAGAUAAUGCUGGAAUGAAAUAUAAAAAAAUGGCAAUAGUGGAUUAAAAAUUGUAAAGAAAAUUAACCUAUAUUUGUUAAGAAAAUUAAAUUAAUAGCACAUAUAGUAUUAUAUUUGUUAAGAAAAUUAAAUUAAUAGCACAUAUAGUAUUAUACCUUUUUUGGUCAUUUUACACAGUCACAAUUGUUUUACAUAAAAGUUUACCAAACACUAUCAUACUGCUUUUUUUUUUCAAAAACACUUUUACACAAAAGUUUACCAAACAUUCUGCUGUUUUAUUUCACAGCCGCUUAUUCUUACAGCACAGCAGAAACAGUUUUUUUUCAAAGUAUAACAAUACCAAAUCAACCCUUAUAAUAAUAGGAAGUUUUAACGAAAACUACCUUUAUUUAUCAUUUUACAUUAAACCUAAGUAUUUUUUUUGGAUUUUUUGUCCGUUUUCCUAUAAUAUUAAUAUCAACCGACAAACACUGCUAAAAUAUUAUCCCUAGAUUGAAAAAGGUGUCACGGUCCAACAAGAUGAUCGAUGAUUUACAUGACUGGGCAAGCUGAGGGAUUUUCUUCACUGAAAUAGUCAGGGUGAGUAACACAAUACCCCAUGUUGUCACCGCCGUAACUGUUAUACACAGGCCUCCUAUAGUAACCAUCAUAUUGGAUGUACGGGGCUGGCCGCCCGCCAUAACCACUGUAGCAGGGCCGCUCGCCACAACCAUUGUAGCAUGGCCGCCCGCCACAACCACUGUAGCAUGGCCGCCGCCACAACCACUGUAGCACGGGCCAUCUGCAUGCCCCUGGUAACAAUCCAUACAACAUGUGCGGACAGGCAUUGGGUACCCUAGCACAGCAAGAUCUUUAGGCUUGCAAUCAUCUUUUUUUUUACCGCCAUAACCACUGCAGCACGGCCCACCUACAUGCCCCUGGCAACAAUCCAUACAACACACUGUGACAGGUGGUGGGCACUUUGGCACAACAGGAUCAUUAGGCUUGCAGUCAUCUUUUUUAUUGCCGCCAUAACCACUGCAGCACGGGCCACCUGCAUGCCCCUGGCAACAAUCCAUACAACAUGUUCGUACAGGCGGUGGGCACUCUGGCACAACAGGAUCUUUCUUACCGUCACAUUUAGGUUUGUUGUCACAUUUAGGUUUGUCAUCACAUUUAGGCUUACAGUCACAUUUAGGCUUGCCGCCACAUUCAUGCUUGUUGUCACCUUUAGUCUCGGGCUUGCUGUCACCUUUAGUCUCGGGCUUGUUGUCAUCUUUGGGCUUCUCGGGCUCCUUGAUCUUGAUGCUUUUGAUGGCACUCCCACCUUUGCAGCAAAUCUUGUCCCUUAUCUUUUCUGGAUUGCAGCAUACCACUUUGAUCACCACUUGGUUUUGCUUCUCGUUGUAUUUCUGGUCUCGUAUUUCUCCUGUUCACAAACACACAUUAAUUUACUAAGUUUACAUUUAAUCUAAAUUAAUCUUAUUUUCCCC